GUCUUUUUGUUUUUUAUAUAAAGUCAGACCUGCCCAAUGAAUUUUAAAUGGCCGCAGUACUUUAACUGUGCAAAGGUAGCAUAAUAAUUUGUUUUUUAAUUGGAAACUAGUAUGAAUGGUCAUACGAGGGAUUGACUUUCUUUAUCUUACUUAAAUUAAUUUUAUUUUUUUGUGAAAAAGCAGAAAUUUCAUUAGUAGACGAUAAGACCCUUUAAAACUUUAUUCAUUAUAGAAGUUUAAUUUUGUUAGGUUUUAAUAGUGUACUUUUUUAAUGAGUUUUGUUGGGGCGACAGGUAAAUUUAUUUAACUUUAUUUUUGUUUUUCACUAAUUAGUGUUUAUUUGAUCCAGAUUUAGUUUUGAUUAUAAGUUUAAGUUACUUAAGGGAUAACAGCGUAA
rnacentral:rRNA from 1 species